rnacentral:rRNA from 1 species
UCCGGUGACGAUGGCGAAGUGGACACACCUGUUCCCAUCCCGAACACAGCAGUUAAGCACUUCAGCGCCGAUGGUAGUACGUCAGUGCGAGAGUAGGACGUUGCCGGGC